rnacentral:rRNA from 1 species
UGGGGAUAGAACAUUGCAAUUAUUGUUCUUCAACGAGGAAUGCCUAGUAAUGGGGAUAGAACAUUGCAAUUAUUGUUCUUCAACGAGGAAUGCCUAGUAAGCGCGAGUCAUCAUCUCGCGUUGAUUACGUCCCUGCCCUUUGUACACACCGCCCGUCGCUCCUACCGAUUGAACGUGCUGGUGAAGCGUUAGGACUGGAACCUUGGGCCGGUCUCCUGCCCAUGGUUUCGGGAAUUUCGUUGAACCCUCCCGUUUAGAGGAAGGAGAAGUCGUAACAAGGUCUCCGUAGGUGAACCUGCGGAGGGAUCAUUGAAACCGAUCAAACCAACCCCAGCGAACUUGCGGGCCGCUCUCGUGGUGGCCCGCCGUAUUCGGAACCGCCGGUGGGAGGGGGGGUGGUGGUGCUCACGCGCCGCCCCCCCCUUGCGCCGUGCGGGGCCUCCCAACCCAUUGAACCUUCUGCCCUGAAGCAAAUUCGUAUGGGGACACCCCUGCGAUCUAACUGAGACAACUCUCAACAACGGAUAUCUUGGCUCUCGCAACGAUGAAGAACGCAGCGAAAUGCGAUACGUAGUGUGAAUUGCAGAAUUCCGUGAAUCAUCGAAUCUUUGAACGCACAUUGCCGGUCGAGUCUUCGGAUGAGACCACAUCUGCCUCAGCGUCGGGAUACCCCCUCACCCGCUCACGCGGGUGGACCUGGCCCCCCCGGCCGGCCCCUCGCGGGCUGGCCGGGCCGGCUGAAAUACAGAGGCUCGUGCGCGGCCCAUUCGUGGCCCCGACUAGGUAGGUAGCUCGCUACUUCUAGGCGGCGGCUCGGUGUCGCGUGCUGUGAGCCCCAAGGAACAUCCUUUCCAUUCGACCUGAGUUCAGGUGAGGCUACCCGCUGAACUUAAGCAUAUCAA